rnacentral:rRNA from 1 species
UACGGAGGGUGCAAGCGUUAUCCGGAUUUACUGGGUUUAAAGGGUGCGUAGGUGGGCCCGAUAGUCAGUGGUGAAAUACUCUCGCUCAACGAGGGAACUGCCAUUGAUACUUCGGAUCUUGAAUGCAGUGGAGGCGGGCGGAAUGUGUCAUGUAGUGGUGAAAUACUUAGAUAUGACACAGAACACCCAUUGCGAAGGCAGCUCGCUACACUGAUAUUGACACUGAGGCACGGAAAGCGAUGGGGAGCAAACAGG